UACGUAGGUGGCAAGCGUUGUCCGGAAUUACUGGGUGUAAAGGGCGUGUAGGCGGGAGAGCAAGUCAGAUGUGAAACCCCAUGGCUUAACUGUGGGACUGCAUCUGAAACUGUUUUUCUUGAGUACUGGAGAGGGAAGUGGAAUUCCUAGUGUAGCGGUGAAAUGCGUAGAGAUUAGGAGGAACACCAGUGGCGAAGGCAGCUUCCUGGACAGAGACUGACGCUGAGGCGCGAAAGCGUGGGGAGCAAACAGGAUUAGAUA
rnacentral:rRNA from 1 species